UACAGAGGUCUCAAGCGUUGUUCGGAUUCAUUGGGCGUAAAGGGUGCGUAGGCGGCGCGGUAAGUCGGGUGUGAAAUCUUGGAGCUUAACUCCGAAACUGUAUUCGAUACUGCCGUGCUUGAGGACUGGAGAGGAGACUGGAAUUUACGGUGUAGCGGUGAAAUGCGUAGAUAUCGUAAGGAAGACCAGUGGCGAAGGCGGGUCUCUGGACAGUUCCUGACGCUGAGGCGCGAAAGCGUGGGGAGCAAACAGG
rnacentral:rRNA from 1 species